GACCCCGUAGCUCAGCGGUAGAGCGUGAGAUUCCAGUGUGAAGACUUGUUUCCUCAAGGUCAUCCGUUCAAUCCGGGUCGGGGUCA
rnacentral:tRNA from 1 species